GGGAGCCCUGGACAGUAGGACCCAGCAUCCUGUACCUCAACAGAGCAUUCACCAACAGAGAUGGUGUAGAAAUGGAGGCACAGGCCAGGCGGGCCCGUCCAUUAAGAAUGCCCUGCCAGAUGGCAUGGCUGGGAACUGCUGCUCCGGGAAGCCUUCCUCACCCAUCUAGAGACCAAAAGGCAAAGUCCCUUUUAGGAGUCAAUGAAAUGCCACUAGCCCUUUCAGGAUAAGGAAGGGAAGGGAGGGUUGUGAAGCCCCCCAUACCGCCUCGGGAUCUGGAGGGGAAGAGAAGACGCGUUCUCAAAAACCGCAGCACAGAUCUCCAAAUCCCAUGCCAGCUGUUGCCAUCACUGAGUUGAGUCCUAGCUAGCCCAGCCAUACACUUGCUGUGUAACCUCAGGCUUUGGCCCAGCUGGGCCCUGCACUCCUAGGAAAGAGGCUGUUCCAUUUCCAGCCCCACCACUUAUUGUGGGGCCUUGGGCACAGCGGGGACCUCUCUUCUGUGAACCGGGUCAUGGCUGUGUGGAUCCCAGGGUUUCUGCGGUGAUUAAACAAGGACACUCCAGGAAAAGCCCAGCCCAGGAGCAGCCGGCAGCGGCAGCGGGGCUCACACAGGGGCUCCUGCACUCCAGGGUCUCGCUCCUUGUCUGGGACCUCCCUGGAAGCCGACUUAGGUCUCGUCGCUGUGGCCCUCCGGCACGCUGCCACCUGCCCAGCACACCUCAGGCGACCGGUUGGUUGCAUGAGCGGUUAAUGAAGGAACACGCGGGCGAGAGGGUGUGGAGCAAGGAAUGGAAAGAAGGGGAAGGGUGGGCAGGCACCAGACCCCACCCGCCUUCUCCUUCCUGACGUCACCCCCUCUCCCAGGUUAUGGCUCUGCUCCUUCACGGCCUCUCUCCUGGACCAGGCUUGGGCAGGCGAUGUGUGUUGUUGAGCCCGUGGCCGCAUUUCCCCACCUAGAGAUUGGGCAUGUGGAGGGACUUUCCUCCUUGUCCUCGGGAGUCUGGGGAGCAGAGGAAGUGACCUUGGAGCCAUCUCAGUAGUCAGAGGGGUUGGGACCACCACAGUCAUACUCCACAGAGCCCAGGGCAGGGCAAGGGCCAGAGCAGGGUCCACAGGGA